rnacentral:rRNA from 1 species
UACAGAGACUGCAAGCGUUAUUCGGAUUCACUGGGCGUAAAGGGUGCGCAGGCGGUCGCGUGUGUCAGGUGUGAAAUCUCGGGGCUUAACUCCGAAACUGCGCCUGAAACUACGUGACUAGAGCAUUGGAGAGGGUAGCGGAAUUCACGGUGUAGCAGUGAAAUGCGUAGAUAUCGUGAGGAACACCAGAGGCGAAGGCGGCUACCUGGACAAUUGCUGACGCUCAGGCACGAAAGCGUGGGGAGCAAAAGGG